GUCUACAGCUAUACCACCCUGAACACCCUGCUCUCGUCUGAUCUCGGAAGCUAAGCAGGGUCGGGCCUGGUUAGUACUUGGAUGGGAGAAUGGGUUUAUGAUUAACA
rnacentral:rRNA from 1 species